CCUACGGGAGGCAGCAGUGGGGAAUAUUGGGCAAUGGGCGCAAGCCUGACCCAGCAAUGCCGCGUGAAGGAAGAAGGCUUUAGGGUUGUAAACCUCUUUGACAGGGGAAGUGCAGAAGACGGUACCCUGAAAACAAGCCACGGCUAACUACGUGCCAGCAGCCGCGGUAAUACGUAGGUGGCAAGCGUUGUCCGGAUUUACUGGGUGUAAAGGGCGUGUAGCCGGGAAGGCAAGUCAGAUGUGAAAUCUGGAGGCUCAACCUCCAAAUUGCAUUUGAAACUGUUUUUCUUGAGUACUGGAGAGGCAGACGGAAUUCGUUGUGUAGCGGUGAAAUGCGUAGAUAUAAGGAGGAACACCAGUGGCGAAGGCGGUCUGCUGGACAGCAACUGACGGUGAGGCGCGAAAGCGUGGGGAGCAAACAGGAUUAGAUACCCGUGUAGUC
rnacentral:rRNA from 1 species